CGCAAGCCUGACGGAGCAACGCCGCGUGAGGGAGGAAGGCCUGUGGGUUGUAAACCUCUUUUCUCAGGGAAGAAGAUCUGACGGUACCUGAGGAAUCAGCAUCGGCUAACUCCGUGCCAGCAGCCGCGGUAAGACGGAGGAUGCAAGCGUUAUCCGGAAUUAUUGGGCGUAAAGCGUCCGUAGGCGGCUAAUCAAGUCUGCUGUCAAAGCCCACAGCUCAACUGUGGAGAGGCAGUGGAAACUGAAUAGCUAGAGUGUGGUAGGGGCAGAGUGAAUUCCUGGUGUAGCGGUGAAAUGCGUAGAUAUCAGGAAGAACACCAGUGGCGAAGGCGCUCUGCUGGGCCAUAACUGACGCUGAUGGACGAAAGCUAGGGGAGCG
rnacentral:rRNA from 1 species